GAUGAACGCUGGCGGCGUGCCUAAUACAUGCAAGUCGAGCGAACGGACGAGAAGCUUGCUUCUCUGAUGUUAGCGGCGGACGGGUGAGUAACACGUGGAUAACCUACCUAUAAGACUGGGAUAACUUCGGGAAACCGGAGCUAAUACCGGAUAAUAUUUUGAACCGCAUGGUUCAAAAGUGACAGACGGUCUUGCUGUCACUUAUAGAUGGAUUCGAGCUGCAUUAGCUAGUUGGUAAGGUAACGGAUUACCAAGGCAACGAUGCAUAGCCGACCUGAGAGGGUGAGCGGCCACACUGGAACGGAGGCACGGUCCAGACUCCUACGGGAGGCAGCAGUAGGGAAUCUUCCGCGAUGGGCGAAAGCCUGACGGAGCAACGCCGCGUGAGUGAUGAAGGUCUUCGGAUCGUAAAACUCUGUUAUUAGGGAAGAACAUAUGUGUAAGUAACUGUGCACAUCUUGACGGUACCUAAUCAGAAAGCCACGGCUAACUACGUG
rnacentral:rRNA from 1 species